rnacentral:rRNA from 1 species
UCCGUCGUGGAGAGGGAAACAACCCUGACCUCCGGCUAAGGCCCCCAAUUCAUGGCUAAGUGGGAAAGCAGGUGAGACGUCCAAAACAACCAGGAGGUUGGCUUAGAAGCAGCCAUCCUUUAAAGAUAGCGUAACAGCUCACUGGUCUAAAUAAGUUGUCCUGCGGCGAAGAUGUAACGGGGCUCAAGCCAUGAGCCGAAGCUUAGGAUGCAC